GUGGACCUUCCUGGGUGGGAACCAAUCUGGCAACACACAACACGGCCAUGGUAGAGGUUAUUAGGACGCUACUUUGUUCUGUCUCUCACAGGCCAGUUUGUUGAUGCUGAUGCGGUCUGAUGUUGGUUGUGGUUGUGUGAGUGCCUGUGGAACUCAAAUGUGUUUGUUGGCGCUCUGUAUUUCGUUGCUGGUUGGCAAACCUGGACCCAGGAGUGUUAUGUGAUGGGUGGGGAUUCGUGGGUGUGGUAGAGGUCGACAGAGAAAGAGGUAGCGAGGGAGAAUAAGGCCUCUCACCCAAGCCUCCUGCAGCAGGUGCUGGAGAUGCGGUUGUGUUGACUCCCGGUGUUGAUGGAAGCCUUCACCUCAGUGUCACAGCACUGUGGAAACACAGCAGAACAACUACAGUGUUAACUGACAGUGUACGUGUAUAGUCAACACACUUAUACUCCCACAAAGGAGAGAACAUCAGACAGGAACACGUAUAUUUGUCCUGCGGCUUUAGUGGAAUAGAUCUGUUUGAUUACAAAAGGCUUUUCAUCAAAUGGGUCCCAACAGCUCUGCUACGCCUGCCAAGUGCCUGCCUGUAAAACUGCCAAACGACGAUAUAAAGUCUGAAUUAAAGGCUUACCGACUCUAGAGUUCUGGUCAAAUUUGUGCUAGUAGUCCAUUAUUAAGCCACAUUUCCCAACCAAUUACAAGUAGUGUUUAAGACUAGGUGUUUUCUAGGUUUGGCAUAGUUGUUUAUAUGCAAUCACAUUCGUAUUGAUCCUCUGUCUGAGUCAGAGACUAUUAGACCAUGAAGCCUGUGCUGAUGAUGCAGGACUAUUCUGCCUCGUGGUUAGAGAUAAUACCAAACCAACCAUGACUAUUUUAGAAAAAAACACCUGUGAAAUCAUUAGUCUCACUCCAGUGGAUGUGUUGACUAUUAGUUCAACCAUUAGAGCCAGUGACCGUGCUUGUUUUCUGAAACAGAUGAUGAUCCCAUGUUAUCUGAGGCCUCUCCAUGCUUUUAUAAUCCUGAAUGCAUUACUAGACAGUGAAAUAUUAGCCCAAUCAGCAGAGCCUGCGGAAUGUUCUUCAACUAAUCAGCGAACCGGUCAGUUCCUGAUUUGUAAAUAGUGUUCGUUCGAAACCAUUAUGCUCAAGGGCAACAUCUUCUGUACAAGAGCAACAUGAUGUUGUCUUCUGAGCCAGAACCAUAGAACAGUAAACAACGCUUCUGAAGUGAGGAUCAGCAGUGCUGUCUUCUCCUGGGUACCUAAAGCAUCCUAUCUGUCUCACUUCCUGUCAUCCAGCCUCUGUGUGUGUGUGUGUGUGUGUGUGUGUGUGUGUGUGUGUGUGUGUGUGUGUGUGUGUGUGUGUGUGUGUGUGUGUGUUUUCACCCACCCAGCAGAGCUGCUAACAGCCAGGGUGGUGGUCCUUUAUCCUCCUCCACAUCUCCCAGUGGUUCCGCCGUAGGGCACUUCAUGUCACAAUGCAGUGAUUCACGGUAAAGGGGAAGCAGACAUUGCGGCAGAUUAUAAUGACUGCAGCGGCCUGGCGGCAGGUAGCCUAGUGGUUAAGAGCAAUGGGCCAGUAACAGAAAGAGAGCUGGUUCGAAUCCCCGAGCCGACUAGGUGACAAAUCUGACGAUGUGUCCUUGAGCAAGGUACUUAAACCUAAUUGCUCCUGUAAGUUGCUCAGGUUAAGAGUGUCUGCUAAAGGACUAAAAUAUACAUGUAAAAUGUUCUAUAAUGAAGUUUCUGUUGUAAAUCUCAAGGCUCUUAUUCGAAUAUGGCAUAUCACACUGCUUCGAGUGGAAGGGAGAACACGCAAUGUUGGUGAAAACAUGCAACUAUGGAGGGAGGAUUUAAAACACACUUCACAGCGUAUGGUGGAUCCGCACGAGUGAGAACGGAACAAGAUGUCACACCCGCCCCCUCUCGAUGGAGAGGGAAAGACACCGAGUGGACACAUAAUGAUAUGCUUCCCUGAACACGAGCUAACACAACCCAGUCUACCUCAUCUCAAGCCUUCUCUAACAUCCACCGUGUUUUGAAUGAAUGGUUCGAUAGGGGGUGGAUGGAAGGAUGAAUAAAGGUUGGAUGGGUGGAUAAAAGUUGGAUGGGUGGAUAAAUGAAUCAUAGAUGUAUGGAUGGAUAAUACAUAGAUGUAUGGAUGUAUGUGUAUCACACAUACAUCGACUUGGCUCUAGGGCAUUUUUACCCCCUAGAUUAAAGCCCACUAGGACAUCAAAUCCCGUUGCUGUGGCUGGGUGUAAAAAUGUAGUCCCCAACACACAAUUGGUUUUAGUUGAGCUUCCCCCUCUUAAUCCCUGCAGGCUUCUCACGGCCAGGCUUCUCAGAAGGCCUGCAAACGUGUGCUUUUGUCUCUGCCUGAGUGGUGAAAAAGUCCUCCCUUUCUGUGAAGUUUCAAAAUGGCUCCGGAAUUAAUGGGUAACUAUGGAGCUUUUAGCCGCUUAAAAAAACAGAACUAAACAAACCAGAUCAAAGAUAAGCUGAUCCGCAUGGAAUGUUCCCUGGCGAACCACUCGCUUCAAACACACACACAGUAGCUGUGUUCCAAUACUCAUACUAACUGCACUAACCGUACUAUUUGGGAUGUAAAUUGAGUAUAAAGUAUGCUUAUUGGUCAUAGUAUGGAUAUAGUUAGUAUGCCAAAAGUUCCCGGAUGUCGUACUAGAUUCGCCAAAAUACGAAUUAUAAACUGGGUGGUUUGAGCCCUGAAUUCUGAUUGGCUGAAAGCCAUGGUACAUCAGACUGUAUACCACAGGUAUGACAAAACAUUUAAUUACAUUGGUAACCAGUUUAUAAUAGCAAUAAGGCCCCUCUGGGGUUUGUGAUAUAUGGCCAAUAUACCACGGCUAAGGGCUGUGUCCAGGCACUCCGCAUUGUGUCGUGCGUAAGAACAGCCCUAAGCAGUGGCAUAUUGGCCAUAUAUCACACCCCCUCGGGCCUUAUUGCUUAAGUAUUCACCUUAUUUAUGAACCCGGAAAGAAAACAAUGUCCAAACGUUCUGUUUUGUGGAGGACUUCCGUUGUGUCGUUCUUGCAGUUUUGCGAACGUUAGCUAGCUAGCUCAAAAUGUCGUGGGAUCAUACCAAAAAAAACUUUCAAAGUCAAAUGGCAAGUCUGUGCCACAUCCGCAGAUUAUUCACGAGUGGGAAGACGAUAUGAAAAAAUGGCCGAAUAUCACCUCCGAAGACAUCUUUUUCUUAUUUUGUCUCGUCUCUCGGUGUGGGUGGGUCAGAGGUGAGGAGCUACAAAAGCGCAGAGGCAUAUCAAUACCUCCACAGCGGCAGAGUUGGGCGGGUGCUUAUUCACUGUCUUGAGGAUGACAACCUGGUGUUCCUCAAAGCAGAUGUCCAGCCUAGCCAGAACAAAACACACCAUCAUUCUGCCUGGAUUCUUAUAUCAUCUGUCGGAACGGUGGAGAGUGCAGGGUGUUGUUGUGUUGCAGGGCAGGGCAGGGGAAGUAUUGCGGUCAUGCAGCUGUAAUACUAUGGAAGGUGCAGAAUGCUGUGUAUGGAGGAUUGACAGGGGUGUCCUGUACAGAUGAGCAAUGCCAGUGGCACUCUGGGACGCAGCGGAAUUUAGCUCCAAAAAGGUUGAGCGAGAUCUGUUUCAAACGUCACAAACCAAGUGACGAGUUCUCUGACAGCACCCCAGCCGCUUCUCCAUCUCUACCUCCAACUCCUGCGUACCACUCCCAAACUUUUAUUAAGUGCAUUGUGGAAGGGGUCAAUGUUCCAGUGGGGUGCCUUGUGCAUCAAAGCUAAACUAUACAGUCAUCAGGUUCCAGCAGCAGCCACACAGCUACAGCAGCCUUAUGGUGAACACGGCAUUAACAUGCAGUGUCAGAAAUGCUUUUCAUUUUAUGACGUUUAUGUUAAGCUGUUGGAGUGUAAAUGUGCCAGUUUGGAGGAGGUCACUAAAGCACAGAGUGUCUCCCAUGUGUGCUGUGACCCGCGUAAACUUCGGAUCACUGCUAGCUCAGAAAAUAAGGUUUGUGUGCGCACCCCAACAAAUGCCGACAACUUUGUGCGGGAGCAUCUCUUCCCCCAGGUUCCGCAACCACAUAUGGCAAGGAGAACGAGCAGGUGGCCUACACAUGGAUGGAGAGCUGUGGGUUUAGUCUGGAGAGUAGAGGCACAGUAGUGAGUGUCAAGGAGCCAUGUCUUUCUGCAAGCCCAGAUGGAGUGUUAAACUCUCAAGAACUAUUAGAAAUCAAAUGUCCUCUUCUGAUUAAGUAGUGUGAGUCUCUGACUGAACUGUUCUCUGGCAAACUCACCGAUGUGAAGCUGGUGCAUGGGGUUCCUCAGCUGUAUCCUAAUGGAGCCCGUGGGUACUACAUGCAGGUGCAAAUGGUAAUGUUCUGCACAGGACUGGAGAGAUGUGUUAGCAGUCGAUGUUAUUCUUCAAUAACACAGACCCCAAAGUAAAUCAGGGAGAGAAAAAUAUAUUUAUUCAAAGAGAACAAAUCAUAGUUGUUAUGCUCGAAAGUAGAUGGCAGAUGUUUAUUCUUCCCUGUCCUCAAUGUUUCUCUGCUGAACAAAGAGACAGGAUGUAGUUUAUAACCCAACCCUAGCCUGUGGUUUACCAAUUAGAAUUCCUUGCAAUAAAACUGGGCCAAUGGCCAAAUAACAAAUAUCCUGUUUCAGGCUCAAUGUAUAGACAAUUCGGACCAAUGAAAACUUGCCACAUGGGGCUAUGAGUCCCGGAUUGAAAUUCCUCCCAUGUCCCUGACCCAUUAAUCUUCAGUUCCCCAUUACAGAAAAGCAACUAUUUCCAUUGAUAAUGAAUUCCCUCUUGACCUUUAGUCCUCUGCAUUUUGUAUUUAUCUUUGAAUAUUCAUACAUAUGCAAACUGCUUGUCUGGGCUCGAUCCGAGCAGGUUGUUAUUGAUGUGCCUUUUGAUGUGAAGUUCUGUGCUGAUUGCAUUCCUAAACUGAAGGCAUUCUAUUUCACACAUAUGCUGCCAAGGAUAGUAGAUGAGUUCCAGUCAGGCAGACUAACUCUGUGCUCCAAAUAUGUUCCUCUAUGUGGUAUCUAGGGGCCUUAUACUUAAAAAAAAAUAGUACAUAUAUUUUGUGUCUUGUAAAGCUCUGUCAGCUCUACCUUAUUAUCGAAGCAUAACUCUUUAUUGGUGUUUUUUUGUCUGUCACAGUUCCCCUUCAUAUGCACAUUUACCUGAUUAUAUUUGCAUAAUUCUUUUUUUUUUAUAUCUUGCCUUGUACAGCUCUCUUCAUACAUGUUUAUCUAAUGCCUACGGAUAAUAAUUUAUGAAUGUUUUUAUUGUACCUUGCAUAGCUCUCUCUUCAUAUGGCACUUCAUGAACUUAUCUAAGCCUACCAUAAUUCAUCUUGCACUUGGCAAAUGAUGAUGUUAAUAAAAACCACUAUGAAAUUCAA